AUAAAAUGUGAAUAUAAUUUGUAAUUACCGAAAGACUCAAAGAAACUUGCACGAAUAGGAAUCGCUCGGCCACUAGUUACCCAUAUUAGUACGGUAAGGGUUAAUAUAGUAUUUGAUAA